CUGUGUCUCUGUCCUCUCCUCGCUGGAGCAACAGAAUUUGCCUCAAGUGUCCACAAGGAUUAUUCCAUGCCUGGAUGUGUGGACCGCCCCCCUCCGGGCACCCCCACCAGCUGCCUGUCUCCUGCCACUCCACCACCUAGCUCUGGGAAGG